UUAUCUAAAUCCAACCUUUGGGAAUUAAAAUUCAUUGGCUCAGGACAGUCUGGCAAGGUGCACAGAAAUCUCCCUCUCGGUUUGGGAGGGCUGUCCCAACAAUAGGGCUGGCUCUUAGAAAGGACAAU